AUCGAAUCGUAAUCGCCGAUGUUAAGAAGGAGAAGGCGGAUAAACCUGGGGAUAAACAAUCAACCUCCAAGGUAUUCAAUAACCGAGUUUAUUGUCAACAAUCCAUUAUUUGCCUCACACGGACGCGAAGAAGAAGUUGUGACGAUUACGCACACUUCUGCUGAUCGAAUGUUUCACUUCUGAGAAUAUAGAAACGCCUGUCGGAUUCUUUGCCUUUUUGGUGGCAGUGGUAAGAAAGCGCAUUGUGAGAGCAUGCCUGUCUUCUGUAUUCGAGAGUGCUGUCCGACUGGUGGCCAUCAUAGCCGCGGUGCUUUGAUGUAAUUAACUUGAUAGUGUCAAGCUCAUUCGGGUGACCAAUAACCAAAAUGAACCGAACAACAACAUGCAAGCGACACGGUGGCAAUUCACAUCUGGCUGGUUUGAACCUUCUUAGGAAACCAUUGCAAAACUAUCUCAAUCAGGCUCCUCCAUCGAGUCUUGAUCCGUUCAGUGAGGGAGGUCCAAAUAGCGAAGUGGGUUGAGGUACUGCUGGUGUUUUGGAUACGUGUUGGUUCAGCAGAUCCAAAUGGCUGUCCAAGCGGGAUAUUUGAAUCGUCAGAUCCUCAAUCAACCAUUGCCACCGGAAACCCUUUUAUUGUUGAAUCAGUUGCUGAAGUAUUUACAAUUACAUGUCAUGCAGAAUAAUUUACGAUGUGAAGGCGCUUCCAAUAAUCAAAUGCCGAUUAUUUCGAAAAUAAAGCAAAAAAUCGCUAGAUUGGAGAACCACCCAACAAGCAGUCAACAUGAAGCACCAACAGCAGGAUUUUGGAAAAGCAACUAGGUACCUGGCAAAUAACGUCGAUCGUGAACUGAAUGAUCUAACUACGUCUCAGAAUAAAUUAUCGGAAAUGAAAUUAGGUAAAGAACAUAUCACCAUAGCUCUAAAGGCGGUAGUAUCGGUACCGGUUCUACUAGUCAACACUGAUCAAUGGAAGUUGCCAACCAUUGACAAGGAUGAAGAACACGAUUUUACUGAUUUUUGUCGUGCAUCUAGAACGAUGGCAAAAUCCACACUUCCCACUUCCCACUACUGAAUCAAACAUCUACACCUGGUCCACCUGUCGUGGAGGAAUUGAAGGUGGAUGACCGGAUUUCUCAGUCGAUACUGUCAGUGACGGUUAGCCUGCUAGACAACAUACUUUCACAGAUUUGCUUGCUAUGCGCUUGAAUCUUGAAUACCUAGAAAGUUUUGUAUGCUAUUUUAAAUCAAUAAUCAGUUAUAUUGCAUCAGGGCACUAAAAUGUAUUAGUAUUGCAUGUAUUUUGCAAAUGAUAAUAAAAUUGAGAACCUAUACUGUAACGAUAAUUAUUGGCUGAAAUAACAUUAUUUCUUUACUGAGAUAAAUCAUGAAUUAAAAUUUAUAUUAAUAUUGUA